AUUGAACGCUGGCGGCAUGCCUUACACAUGCAAGUCGAACGGUAACAGGUCUUCGGAUGCUGACGAGUGGCGAACGGGUGAGUAAUACAUCGGGACGUGCCCGAGAGGGGGGGAGAACGGAGCGAAAGCUACGCUAAUACCGCAUACGAGCUAAUGAUGUAAGCGGGGGAUCGCAAGGCCUCGCGCGAUUGGAGCGGCCGGUGGCAGAUUAGGUAGUUGGUGGGGUAAAGGCCUACCAAGCCGACGAUCUGUAGAUGGUCUGAGAGGACGACCAGCCACACUGGGACUGAGACACGGCCCAGACUCCUACGGGAGGCAGCAGUGGGGAAUUUUGGAAAAUGGGCGCAAGCCUGAUCCAGCCAUUCCGCGUGCAGGAUGAAGGCCCUCGGGUUGUAAACUGCUUUUGUACAGAACGAAAAGGCUCUGGUUAAUACCUGGGGCUCAUGACGGUACUGUAAGAAUAAGCACCGGCUAACUACGUGCCAGCCGCCGCCGUAAAAC
rnacentral:rRNA from 1 species